GACGGAAGAUGCAAGCGUUGCUCGGAAUCACUGGGCGUAAAGGGUGCGUAGGCGGCCGUGCAAGUCUGGCGUGAAAGCCCCGGGCUCAGCCCGGGAAGUGCGCUCGAAACUGCGCGGCUCGAGUGCCGGAGGGGAGAGUGGAAUUCCUGGUGUAGCGGUGAAAUGCGUAGAUAUCAGGAGGAAUACCGGUGACGAAAGCGACUCUCUGGACGGCAACUGACGCUGAGGCACGAAAGCGUGGGGAGCAAACAGG
rnacentral:rRNA from 1 species